rnacentral:lncRNA from 1 species
AUUUUUGGAUUAACCCUCCAAAAAAGAUGGUCCAUGUUAGCAAAAAGAGAACCCAUAGGGAAGAGAUUUGGAUUCGAUGGGAUCUUAGAUAGUACCCACACUUGACGUGCCAUGAGACAUUCAAAGAACACAUGAUCAAUUGAUUCCUAUGAAUCUCCACACCUUGUACAACAAGAAUCUCCUUGUAUUCCUCUCGCCUUUAGAUUUUUUGUUACCGCUAUACAACCUG